rnacentral:rRNA from 1 species
UACAAGUAAGACUAGUGUUAUUCAUCUUUAUUAGGUUUAAAGGGUACCUGAGACAGUAGAUUAAGCCAUUUGAAGGUACUUAUUUGCUAGAGUUAUAUGUGAGAGGUAGAUAUUAGUAUUAUUUGUGUAGAGAUGAAAUUCUUUGAUACUUAUAAGACGGAUAAAGGCGAAGGACAACCCUCUAUUUAAUAACUGACGUUGAGGGACGAAGGCUUGGGGAGCGAAUAGG